rnacentral:rRNA from 1 species
UACAGGGGGGGCAAGCGUUGUUCGGAAUUACUGGGCGUAAAGGGCCAGUAGGCGGCCAACUAAGUCCGACGUGAAAUCCCAAGGCUUAACCUUGGAACUGCGUCGGAUACUGGAUGGCUUGAAUUCGGGAGAGGGAUGCAGAAUUCCAGGUGUAGCGGUGAAAUGCGUAGAUAUCAGGAGGAACACCGGUGGCGAAGGCGGGUCUCUGGGCCGAUACUGACGCUGAGGAGCGAAAGCGUGGGGAGCGAACAGG